rnacentral:rRNA from 1 species
UACGUAGGGUGCAAGCGUUGUCCGGAAUUAUUGGGCGUAAAGAGCUCGUAGGCGGUUCGUCGCGUCGGCUGUGAAAUCCCGAGGCUCAACCUCGGGUCUGCAGUCGAUACGGGCGGACUGGAGUUCGGCAGGGGAGACUGGAAUUCCUGGUGUAGCGGUGAAAUGCGCAGAUAUCAGGAGGAACACCGGUGGCGAAAGCGGCUUCCUGGUCCAGCACCGACGUCAGGCACGAAAGCGUGGGGAGCAAACAGG